GUCGCGAGGCGGGAUCACGAGGGGAAAUGGCUUCUCGAGUUCCGCGUCCAGGAAGCCCGGCCCGGUGGAUACUUGUGGGCUAGAGGACUGAGGGAGGGACGGGCUCUCUGUUCGCCCUCGGUGCCAGUACUGGAGCGCGGCGGAGGGCGUGCUCGGGUCCCGUCUCCCCGCCACCCGCCCCGCCAGUUCGCCGUGUAGGCCUGGCUGGGCGCCCUCACUUCAGCCCGUCGUUAGUUCUCCCUUCGGGGUCACAUCCAGCCCCUUAUUAAACUGCUGUCGCAGACCGAUUUUCUAGUCUUGUCGCAGUUCAUGACAGCCUGCCUCCUGAACAGAAUUACUCGAGCUUCUGUAUGGGCCCUCAACAGAAGUUUGAUCUAUAUAUAAAGCAUGUGUAAAUUUUUUUGUUUUACUAACUCUUAUCCAUGCGUAUUUCUUUUUUUAGGGGUCUUUGUUUUUUUGCUUAGCUUUGAAUUUCUUUCUAGUGUCUUUUCCCUUCCAUCUGAAGGACUUCCAUUAGUAUCUUUUUGAAGGGCGGGUAUGGUGGGUAUGAACGCUGGCAGCUUCUGUUUGGGAAUGUUUUAAUUUCUUUCUCAUCCUUGAAGGACAGUUUCCCUGGGUAUAGUAUUGCUGGUUGACAGAUUUUUUUGUUUGUUUUUUCCAGAACUUCAAAUAUAUCAUUACCUUCUGGCCUCCAGUGUUUCUGAGGAGAAACUGGCUAUUUAAACUUACCGGUGUUCCUUUGUAUGUGACUGUUUGCCUCUCUUUCACAGCUUUGAGGAUUCUCUCUCCACCUUCCCCCCAUUUUUCUUUUUAAUGUUUAUUGUGCUUUAAGUGAAAAUUUAAAAUCUAGUCCGUCUCAUACAAAAAUUUAUAUACACCUUGCUGUAUACUCCUAAUUGCUUUCCCCCUAAUGAGACAGCACACUCCUUCCCUCCACUCUCUUUGUGUCCAUUUGGCCGGCUUCUGACCCCCUCUGUCCUCUCAUCUCCUUUCCAGACAGGAGAUGCCAACAUAGUCUCAGGUGUCUAUUUGAUCCAAGAAGCUUGUUCUACACCGGUAUCAUUUUCUGUCCCAUUGCCCAGUCCAAUCCCUGUCUUAAGAGUUGGCUUUGGGAAUGGUUCCUGUCUUGGGCAAACAGAAGGUCUGGGGACCAUGAGCACUGGGGUCUUUCUAGUCUCAGUCAGACCAUUAAGUCUGGCCUUUUUACAAGAGUUUGGGGUCUGCAUCCCACUGCUCUCCUGCUCCCUCAGGGGUUCUCUGUUUUUUUCCCUGUCUGGGUGGUCAUCGGUUGCAGCCAGGCAGCAUCUAGUUCUUCUGGUCUCAGGCUGAUGUAGUCUCUGAUUUAUGUGGCUCUUUCUGUCUCUUGGGCUUGUAAUUAUCUUGUGCCUUUGGUGUUCUUCAUUCCCCUUUGCUCCAGGUGGGUUGAGACGAAUUCAUGGGUCUUAGAUGGUUGCUUGCUAGCAUUUAAGACCCCAGACAGCACUCUCCAAAGUGGGAUACAGAAUGUUUUCUUAAUAGAUUUUAUUAUGCCAAUUAGAUGUCCCCUGAAUCCAUGGUCCCCAAACCCCUGCCCCUACUACACUGGCCUUCGAAGCAUUUGGUUUAUUCAGAAAACUUUUUUGCUUUUGGUUUAGUCCAGUUGUGCUGACCUCUCUUGUAUUGUGUGUUGUCUUUCCCUCCACCUAAAAUAGUCCUUAUCUACUAUCUAAUUAGUGAAUACCCCUCUCCCUCCCUCCCUCCCACUUCUCGUAACCAUCAAAGAAUAUUUUCUUCUGUUUUUAAACUAUUCUUCAAGUUCUUAUAAUAGUGGUCUUAUACAAUAUUUGUUCUUUUACAACUGACUAAUUUCACUCAGCAUAAUGCCUCUCAGAUUCCUCCAUGUUAUGAAAUGUUUCACAGGUUCAUCACUGUUCUUUAUCGAUGCGUAGCAUUCCAUUGUGUGAAUAUACCAUAAUUUAUUUAACCACUCAUCCCUUGAUGGGCAUCUUGGUUGCUUCCAUCUUUUUGCUAUUGUAAACAGUGCUUCAGUGAACAUGGGUGUGCAUAUAUCUGUUCAUGUAAACGCUCUUAUUUCUCUAGGAUAUAUUCCAAGGAGUCGGAUUGCUGGAUCAUAUGGUAAUUCUAUUUCUAGCUUUUCAAGGAAGCGCCAAAUGGAUUUCCAAAGUGGUUGUACCAUUUUACGUUCCCACCAGCAGUUAUAAGUGUUCCAGUGUCUCCACAGCCUCUCCAACAUUGAUCAUUUUGAGUUUUUUGGAUUAAUGCCAGCCUUGUUGGAGUGAGAUGGAAUCUCAUUGUAGUUUUGAUUUGCAUUUCUCUAAUGGCUAAUGAUCGUGAGCAUCUCCUCAUAUAUCUGUUAGCUACCUGAAUGUCUUUAGUGAAGUCCUUUUCAUCUUUUGCCCAUUUUUUAAUUGGGUUAUUUGUCUUUUCGUAGUUGAGCUUUUGCCGUAUCAUGUAGAUUUUAGAGAUCAGGCGCUGAUCGGAAAUGUCAUAGCUAAAAACUUUUUCCCAGUCUGUAGGUAGUCUUUUUACUCUUUUGGUGAAGUCUUUGGAUGAGCAUAGGUGUUUUAUCUUUAGGAGCUCCCAGUUAUCUAGUUUCUCUUCUGCAUUGUUAGUAAUGAUUUGUACACUGUUUAUGCCGUGUAUUAGGGCUCCUAACGUUGUCCCUGUUUUUUCUUCCAUGAUCUUUAUUGUUUUGGAUUUCAUAUUUAGGUCUUUGAUCCAUUUUGAGUUGGUUUUUGUGCAUGCUGUGAGGUAUGGGUCUUGUUUCAUUUUUUUGCAGAUGGAUAUCCAGUUAUGCCAGCACCAUUUGUUAAAAAAGGCUGUCUUUUCCCCAUUUAACAGACUUUGGGCCUUUUUCAAAUAUCAACUACUCAUAUGUAGAUGGAUUUAUGUCUGGAUUCUCAAUUCUGUUCCAUUGGUCUAUGUAUCUGUUGUACCAGUACCAGGCUGUUUUGACUACUGUGGCGGUAUAAUAGCUUCUAAAAUCAGGUAGAGUGAGGCCUCCCACUUUGUUCUUCUUUUUCAGUAAUGCUUUACUUAUCUGGGGAAACCCAGGUGGCAUAGUGGUUAAGAGCUAUGGCUGCUAACAAAAAGGUCGGUAGUUCAAAUCCACCAGACACUCCUUGGAAACUCUAUGGGGCAGUUCUCCUCUGUCCUAUAGGGUCGCUGUGAGUUGGAAUCGACUCGAUGGCAGUAGGUUUGGUUUGGUUAGUUUUACUUAUCUGGGGCCUCUUUCCCUUGCAUAUGAAGUUGGUGAUUUGUUUCUCCAUCUCAUUAAAAAAUGUCGUUGGAAUCUGGAUCAGAAUUGCAUUGUAUCUAUAGACCGCUUUUGGUAGAGUAGACAUUUUUACAAUGUUAAGUCUUCCAAUCCAUGAGCAAGGUAUGUUUUUCCACUUAUGCAGGUCUCUUUUGGUUUCUUGUAGUAGUGUUUUUAGUUAUCUUUGUAUAAGUCUUUUACAUCUCUGGUAAGAUUUAUUCCUAAGUACUUUAUCUUCUUGGGGGCUACAGUAAAUGUUAUUGAUUUGGUGGUUUCCUCUUUGAUGUUCUUUUUGUUGGUUUAGAGGAAUCCAACUGAUUUUUGUAUCUUUAUCUUGUAUCCUGAUACUUUGCUGAACUCUACUUUUAGCUUCAGUUUUUUUCUUUAGAAUCCUUUAGGGUUUUCUGUGUAUAAGAUCAUGUCAUCUGCAAAUAGAGAUACUUUUACUUCUUCCUUACCAAUCUGGAUACACUUUAUUUCUCUAUGUAGCCUAAAUGCUCUGGCUAGGACCUUCAGCACAAUGUUGAAUAACAGUGGUGAUAAAAGGCAUCCCUGUCUGGUUCCUGAUCUCAAGGGAAAUGCUUUCAGACUCUCUACAUUUAAGAUGAUGUUGGCUGUUGGCUAUUGGCUUUGUAUAAAUGCCCUUUAUUAUGUUGAGGAAUUUUCCUUUUAUUCCUAUUUUGCUGAGAGUUUUUGUCAUGAAUGGGUGUUGAACUUUGUCAAAUGCCUUUUCUGCAUCAAUUGGUACAAUCAUGUGGUUCUUGUCUUUUGUUUUAUUUAUAUGAUGGAUAACAUUAAUUCUUUUUCUAAUGUUGAACCAUCCCUGCAUACCUGGUAUGAAUCCCAGUUGGUAAUGGUGAAUUACUUUUUUGAUACGUUAUUGAAUUCUGUUGGCUAGAAUUUUGUUGAGGAUUUUUGCAUCUAAGUUCAUGAGGGAUAUAUGUCUGUAAUUUUCUUUUUUUUGUGGUGUCUUUUUUUUUUACCUGGUUUUGGUAUCAGGGUUAUGCUGGCUUCAUAGAAUGAGUUUGGGAGUAUUCCGUCCUUUACUGUGCUCUGAAAUACCCUUAGUAGUAAUGGUGUCAACUCUUCUCUGAAAGUUUGGUAGAACUCUGCAGUGAAGCCAUUCUGGGCCAGGGCUUUUUCUUGUGGGGAGUUUUUUGAGUACCUUUCAGUCCCUUCUUUUGUUAUGGGUCUAUUUAGUUGUUCUACUUCUGUCUGUGUUAGUUUAGGUAGGUAGUGUUUUUCUAGGAAUUCAUUUCUUCUAGGUUUUAAAAUUUGUUGGAGUACAGUCUUUCAUAGUAAUCUGAUAACGAUUCUUUUAAUUUUAGUUGGGUCUGUUGUAAUAUCGCCCUUCUCAUUUCUUAUUUGGGUUAUUUGCUUCCUCUCCUGUUUUUCUUUUGUCAGUUUGGCCAGUGGUUUAUCAAUUUUGUUGAUUUUUUCAAAAAAACAGCUUUUGGUCUUGUUAAUUCUUUCAGUUGUUUUUCUGUUUUCUAUUUCAUUAUAGUUCUGCUCUAAUUUUUAUUAUUUGUUUUCUUUUGGUGCCUGUGGGUUUCUUUUGUUACUCUCUUUCUGUUAUUCAAGUUGUAGGGAUAAUUCUUUGAUUUUGGCCCUUUCUUCUUUUUGGAUGCGUGCAUUUAUUGAUAUAAAUUGACCUCUGAGCACCGCUUUUGCUGUGUCCCAAAGGUUCUGAUAAGAAGUGUUUUCAUUCUCAUUGGAUUCUCUGAAUUUCUUUAUUCCAUCCUUAACGUCUUCUAUAAUCCAGUCUUUUUUGAGCAGGGUAUUGUUGAGUUUCCAAGUGUUUGAUUUCUUUUCCCUGCUUUUUCUGUUAUUGAUUUCCACUUCUAUGGCCUUAUGAUCAGAGAAGGUGCUUUGUAAUAUUUUGAUGUUUUGGAUUCUGCUAAGCCUUGCUUUAUGACCUAAAAUGUGAUCUAUUCUAGAGAAUGUUCCACGCGCACUAGAAAAGGAAAUGUACUUGACUGCUGUUGGGUGUAGUGUUCCAUAUAUGUCUGUAAGGUCAAGUUGGUUCAUUGUGGCAUUUAGACCUUCCGUGUCUUUCUUGAGCUUCUUUUGGAUGUCCUGUCCUUCACCGAAAGUGGUGUGUUGAAGUCUCCUACUAUAACUGUGGAGCUGUCUAUCUCACUUUUUAAUGUUGAUAGAGUUUGUUUUAUGUAUCUUGCAGCCCUGUCAUUGGGUGCAUAAAUAUUUAAUAUGGUUAUAUCCUCAUGGUAUAUUGUCGCUUUAAUCAUUAAAUAGUGUCCUUCCUUAUCUUUUGUGGUGGAUUUAACUUUAAAGUCUAUUUUGUCUAAAAUUAAUAAUGCCACUCCUGCUACUUUUUGGUUGUUGUUUGCUUGAUAUAUUUUUUUUCAUACUUUGAGUUUUUGUUUGUGUCUCUAAAUCUAAGGUGUUUCUCUUGUAGGCAGCAUAGAGACAGACCGUGUUUUUUUAAUUCAUUCUGCCACUCUCUGUCUCUUUAUUGGUGCAUUUAGUCCAUUUACAUUCAGCGUAAUUAUGGAUAGGUAUGAAUUUAGUGCUGUCAUUUUGAUUUUUUUUUUAUGUGUUGUUGAUAGUUUCUUUUUCCCACUUAAUUUUUUGUGCUUUGUGGUUCAUCUUUACAUAUCCUCUUUUCCCCGUAUUUGUUGCUGUUGAUUUUGUUUCUGCUGAGUCUCUGUUUUUUUUCUUGUAUUUUAUUUUGAUGAGUAGGAUAGUUUGUCUCCGUUGUGGUUACUUUAAUAUCUACCUCUGUUUUUCUAAAUUUAAAACUAACUUUUUUUUCUUUUUAUAGCCUUGUCUUCCUCUGUGUAUGAAAAAUCUGUGACUACAUUUCUUAAUUUCUCUUUAUGGUUUUAAUGUUGUCUUAUAUAAUAACAUCGCUCUUUCCCUGUUCUGGGCAUUUUUUUAUCUUGAUUUAUUUUUGCGAUUUCCCUAUUUGCGUUGACAACUGAUUGCUCUAUCUAGUGUUCUAGUGUUGGGUUGAUACCUGAUAUUGUUGAUGUUCUAACCAAUGAACUCCCUUUGGUAUUUUUUUGUAGUGAUCUCAGGAAGGCAUCUUCAUUGAGAAGAUUCAUUGAUUCUUCGUUUUGAGAGCUUGUGGAGGCAAUCAUGGUUGGUUUAGCAAAGUGGCCCAUCACAUUGUGUGCCCUGCUCCACCAUGCAAACAAGACCAAGUUGUGAGUCCUUCUUGGGAAGCAUGGCAGCUGCCUCCAGAUCACAUAUUUUUUCCAUCCUUUUUUUUUUUUAACUCCCCGUUUCCUCCCACACCAGCCUCAGCCCAUGGUAACUGCUCAUCUUUUGUCUUGAUGGAUUUGCCUAUUGUAGAUAUUUCAUGCCUGUCUAAUCUUUGGCUGAAAGGCAGACUUCAGGAGUGGCUUGAGUUCUGAGUUAGCAGGAUGUCCAGGGACCAUAGUCUUGGGAUUUCCUCCAGCCUCUUUCAGAUCAGUAAGUCUGGUCCUUUUUGUGAAUUUGGACUUUAUUCUACAUUUUUCUCCCACUCUGUCCAGGACCCUCUAUUGUGAUCCCUGACAGGGCGGUUGGUGGUUGUAGCUGGGGAUCAUUUAGUUCUGGGCUCAGACUUGUAGAGGCUGUGGUUCAUGUGGUCCAUUAAUCCUUCAGACUAAUAUUUUCCUGUGGCUUUGCUUUUCUUCAUUCUGUUUUGCUCUGAAUGUGAUGGGACCAGUAGGUGUAUCUUAGAUGACCACUUGCAAGCUUUUAAGUCCCUAGACGCUACUCACCAAAGUAGGGUAUAGAAUAUUUUCUUUAUGAACUAUAUUAUGCCAAUUGACCUAGCUGUCUCCUGAGACCAUGAUUGCCAGGCCUCAGCCCCAGUAAUUCAGUUCCUCAAGGUGCUUGAAUGUGUCUAUCAUUGAAUUUUAAGAGUUUUUUUCCCAUAUUCUGGAUAUUAAACCUUUAUCAGAUAUAUGAUUUCCAAAUAUUUUCUCUCAUUCUGUAGAUUCUUUUUACUUUCUUAAUAAUGUCCCUUGAUAAACAAGCCUUUAAUUUUGAUGAAGUUGAAUUUAUCUAUUUUUUUUUUCUCUUCUUGCUUGUGCUUUUGGUGUCAUAUAUAAGAAUCUAUUGCCUAAAAGAAGGUCUUGAAUUUUACCCCUUUCUUCCAAUAAUUUUAUGGUUUUAGCCCUUAUAUUUAGAUCAUUGCUCCAUUUUGAGUUCAUUUUUGCAUGUAGUGUGACGUAUGGAUUCAACUUCAUUCUUUUUCAUGUGGAGAUCCAGUUGCCUCAGUACCAUUUGUUCAACAUACUAUUUUUUCCCUAUGAAAGGGGAUUGGCCCCCUUACCAAAAAUCACUUGAGUAUAGAUGUAUUGGUUUAUUUCUGGACUGUCAAUUCUAUUCCAUUGUUUUAUAUGUCUAUCCUUAUACCAGUAUAAGACUGUUUAGGAUACUGUAGUUUUAUAGUAUGUUUUGAAAUCAGGAAUUGAGCGUCCUCCUACUUUUUUUUUCUAAAUUGUUUUGGCUAUUCGGGGCCACUUGCAAUUCUGUAUGAGUUUGAGGAUCAGCUUUUCCAUUUUUUUUAAAUGGCUUUUGGAAGUUUAAUAGGAAUUGUGUUGUAUCUGUAGAUUGCUUUGGGUAAACUUAAUAUGUUAAUACUAUUAGGCCUUUGACUUCAUAAACAUAGGAUGUCUUUCAAUUUAUUUAGCCCUUCUUUAAUUUCUUUCAGCAGUGUUUUUUGGUUUUCAGUUGUCUAGUAUUGCUUUAACAGAAAUACUGCAAGUGGAUGGCUUCAACAAACAAAAGGUUAUUCUCUCACAGUCUGGUAGGUUAGAAGUCUAAAUUUAGGGCAAGCCUUUCUCUCUCUGUAGUUUCUGGAGGAAGGUCCUUGUCAUCAGUCUUCCUCUGGUCUAGGAGCUUCUCCACACAGGAAACUCGGGUCCAAUGAUGCACCCUCUUUCUGGUACUGCUUUCUUGGUGGGAUGAAGUCCCCAUUCUCCUAGUCCAUCUGAGUGAUGACUCCACCCUUUGAGACCCCAGAGGUCAUGGCAAUACCCUUUGAGACUGAGGCGGCUCAGCUUCCUGUGUUCCUUGUCUCUUCAGCUUCUGCUUCCUGGUUCCUUGGCCUCUGGGGUCCCUCAGGCCUCCCUGCCCAAAUCUGCCCUGCUGGGACAGGGGUUUCAAAGCUCCAUAGUUCCACUGAUAAGAGCUUGGAGACACCCUACUCUGCCAGUAAACUUUGGCUGGAAGACACUCAGCUCUCUCACUCCAUGGGUUGGCUCCAGUCCUGUCUCAUGCUUGUCUCCUGGUUCUGCUGCUGCUUGCUGUUUCUCUGCAUCUGCCAUUUCCAAUGUAAUAGCUGUCCUCAUUUCCUUCUGAGUCCUCACCAGAAUUGUCUUUGAUGCCCAUAAUUCCACCAAUAGUCUUUUCAAUGCAUUCUAGGCUUUUACUAUUAGGCACUUUAAAACUCUUCCAGUCUCAACAGGGAUCACAAUCAAGGGGCCCGGCCAGAGCUGAAGAAAAAUGUAGAACAAAAUUCUAACUCAAAAAAAAAGACCCGACUUGUUGGCUUGACAGAGACAGGAGAAACCCUGAGAGUAUGGCCCCAGAACACAGUAUCAGCUCAGUAAUGAAGUCACUUCUGAGGUUUGCCCUUCAGCCAAAGAUUGGACAGGCCCAUAAAAUAAAACAAGACUAAAGGGACACACCAGCUCUGGGGCAAGGACUAGCAGGCAGGAGGGGACAAGAAAGUUGGUAAUAGGGAACCUAAGGUUAAGAAGGGAGAGUGUUGACAUGUGAUGUUGUUAACCAAUGUCAUAUAACAAUAUGUGUACUAACUGUUUAAUGAGAAACUAGUUUGUUCUGUAAACCUUCAUUUAAAGUACAAUAAAAACAAAAAAACUCUUCCAGCCUCUAUCCAUGCACAGUUUCAAAACUGCUUCCACAAUUUAAGUAUCUGUUAGAGCAGCACCCCACCUUCUUAGUAUCAAAUUCUGUCUUAGUUAUCUAGUGCUGCUAUAAAAGAAAUACCACAAGUGGAUGGCUUUAACAAAGAGAAUUUUAUUUUCUCACAGUUUAGGAGGCUAGAAGUCCAAAUUCAGGGUGCCAGCUCCAGGUAAAUCCAUUCUCCUUCUGUUGGCUCUGGGGAAAGGUCCUUGUCAUCAAUCUUCCUGUCUAGGAGCUUCUCAGCACAGGGACCUCCUACCACCAAGAAAGCAGAGCUGGGAGUUGAGCACAUCCUUUAGACCCAGGGUCCCUGCACAGAGAGGCUCCUAGACAAAGGGUAGAUUGAUGACAAGGACCUUCCCCCAGAGCUGACAGGGAAAGAAAGUCUUUACCUAGAACUGGCACCCUCAAUUCGGAAUUCUAGCCUCCUAAGCUAUGACAUAAUAAAAUUCUCUUUGUUAAAGCCAUUCACUUGUGGUAUUUCUGUUAUAGCAGCACUAGAUAACUAAGGUACAGUGUAAAGGCUUUCCGCCUUCUUGGUUAAAUUUAUUCCUAGAUAUUUUAUUCUUUUGAAUGCUGUUGUCAAAAGGAAUGUUUUCUUAAUUUCCCUUUUUAGAUUGUUGCUGGUAUAUAGAAACAACUAAUUUCUGUGUGCUGAUCUUGUACCCUGCAACUUUGCUGAAUUCAUUUAUUAGCUCUAGUAGCUUUUCGUGGAUUUGGAGUGAUUUUUCUAUAUAUAGUAUCCUGUCAUCUGCAAAUAGAGAUAGUUUUACUUCUCCUUUUCUGAUUUGAAAGACUCUUAUUUCUUUUUCUUGCCUAAUUACUUUGGCUAGAAUUUCUAAUGCAGUGUUGAAUAGGAGGUAAAAAGUGGGCACCCUGACUUGUUCCUGAUCACAGGGGGAAACUUUUAGUCUUUCAGCACUGGUAUGGUAUUAGCCAUAGGAUUUUCAUAAAUAUCUUUUAUCAUGUUGAGGAAUUUCCCUUCUAUUCCUAGUUUGUUGAGUGUUUUUAUCAUGAAAAGGUGUUGGAUUUUUGUCAAAUGUAUUUUCUGUAUUAAUUGAGGUGAUUCGAGUGAUGUGUUGGUUAUUUUUGCCUUCAUUGUAUUAAAGUGGUAUAUUGAUUGAUUUUCUUACGUUGAACUACCCUUACAUUUCUGGGAUAAAUUCCACUUGGCCAUGGCAUAUAAUUUUUUAAUAUGUUGUGUGUCUUGGCUGUCUAGUCUGCUAUAACAGAAAUACCACAAGUGGAUGGCUUUAACGAAGAGAAAUUUAUUUCUUCACAGUAAAGUAGGCUAAAAGUCCAAAUUCAGGGCAUCAGCUCCAGGGGAAGCCUUUCUCUCUUUGACAGCCUUCUCAUCAAUCUUCCCUGGGACUAAGAGCUUCUCUGUGCGGGGACCCUGGGUCCAAAGGAUGGGCUCUGCUCCCAGCACUGCUUUUUUGGUGGUAUGAGGUCCCCUACUCUCAGCUUGCUUCCCUUUCCUUUUAUCUCUUGAAGAUAAAAGGUGGUGCAGGCCACACCCCAGGGAAAUUCCCUUUACGUUGGAUCAAGGAUGUGAUGUAGUAAGGGUUUUACAAUCCCACCCUAAUCCUCUUUAACAUAAAUUAAC